rnacentral:rRNA from 1 species
UACAGAGGGUCUCAAGCGUUGUUCGGAUUCAUUGGGCGUAAAGGGUGCGUAGGUGGGUUGGUAAGUCAGUGGUGAAAUCUCCGUGCUUAACAUGGAAACUGCCAUUGAUACUACUGGUCUGAAUUUUCUGGAGGUAAGCGGAAUAUGUCAUGUAGCGGUGAAAUGCUUAGAUAUGACAUAGAACACCAAUUGCGAAGCAGCUUACUACAGGGACAUUGACACUGAGGCACGAAAGCGUGGGGAUCAAACAGG